CGAUGUCAGUUCCUCUUCCUGUCUGUAGUCCAACAGGAAGCUUUGAUGACAUCGCAGAGAAGUUUGGGGUCCUUUUCACCCGGAAAGCUGCAGGCUUCACGCCAAUUUGACACGGCUUGCUGGUUUUGCGGGACCUGACAAAC